AUGAACGCUGGCGGCGUGCCUAAUACAUGCCAGUCGAGCGAACGGACGAGAAGCUUGCUUCUCUGAUGUUAGCGGCGGACGGGUGAGUAACACGUGGAUAACCUACCUAUAAGACUGGGAUAACUUCGGGAAACCGGAGCUAAUACCGGAUAAUAUUUUGAACCGCAUGGUUCAAAAGUGAAAGACGGUCUUGCUGUCACUUAUAGAUGGAUCCGCGCUGCAUUAGCUAGUUGGUAAGGUAACGGCUUACCAAGGCAACGAUGCAUAGCCGACCUGAGAGGGUGAUCGGCCACACUGGAACUGAGACACGGUCCAGGCUCCUACGGGAGGCAGCAGUAGGGAAUCUUCCGCAAUGGGCGAAAGCCUGACGGAGCAACGCCGCGUGAGUGAUGAAGGUCUUCGGAUCGUAAAACUCUGUUAUUAGGGAAGAACAUAUGUGUAAGUAACUGUGCACAUCUUGACGGUACCUAAUCAGAAAGCCACGGCUAACUACGUG
rnacentral:rRNA from 1 species